GCCCGGGUAGCCCAACGGAAGAGGCCGCCGGCCCAGAACCGGUGCGUUGCAGGUUCGACUCCUGCUCCGGGUAC
rnacentral:tRNA from 1 species